rnacentral:rRNA from 1 species
AUUGAACGCUGGCGGCAUGCCUAACACAUGCAAGUCGAGCGAGCGGCGGACUGGUGAGUAAUUUCUUGGAAACUGCCUGAUGGACGGGGAUAACUACUGUAAACGGUAGCUAAUACCGCUUACCAUCCGUUCUGCCCUGAUGGGAUUAGCUAGUAGGUGGGGUAAUGGCUCACCUAGGCGACGAUGCCUAGCGGGUCUGAGAGGAUGACCAGCCACACUGGAACUGAGACACGGUCCAGACUCCUACGGGAGGUAGCAGUAGGGAAUAUUGCACAAUGGGCGAAAGCCUGAUGCAGCCAGGCCGCGUGAGUGAAGAAGGCCUUCGGGUUGUAAAGCACUUUCAGCGAGGAGGCGUUACUCGAAGAAGAAGCAACGGCUAACUCCGUGCCAACAGCCGCGGUAAUUC